CAUUUUAGGAACGCAUUCAAAAUCUGGAAUCUGUAUAACGAAAUCAGUUUUCAGAUUGAGUUAUAACUUUGUCUGCAUUUACCGAAGAAUAAUUUUCCGAAUUUGAAAUAAUUUCACACAAAAGUCUUUCAAAAGUGGAAGGGCAACCUCACGGUGGGCUCCCUUAUUACCAGCAUUUGAGACGAAGUAUCGACGAAAUGCUCGUGCUCGAACGGCAUUAUGUGAGUCGUGAGCAAUAUUCUUGACAUUAUGUACAACCGUUUUUGUUUUGGGAAAGGUCGUUUUACGUAUCGCAGUUUCCUUUUAACGACUGCGAUAAAACUGGACACUAUAGCGGAGAUCCACGAAGAAAAUCUAACGUGUCCAGUGCGCUGGUUGUGCAAUGUAAGUACAUAGUUGUGAAGUUGUAAGUCACAAAGUUAUUUUGUUCGUUGCCGUCAGUACGAGUAUUCAGCUUUAUUACCUUGCUAACAAUUAUGAUCGAACGCUAUUUUCCAGGAGCACUGCACUGGCAGCAGCAGAAAAGUGUAGAAAUUUACCUGUGUAGAGAAGCAGCGAAUGUGGCUAAGAUAGAACAGAUAGAACAUGCUGCCAAACUGGAAAACCAGUCGGUGUUGCAUAACUUGCAUAUAUACGUUUCAACUCAUGAUAACAUCGGUGCUUCCUGCGCUUGCCACAAUGAUCUUAGGUCGCGGUUCUUGAUACCUCUGUGAAUAGCUGUUAUGGAUUUGGCUUUUACCGAAUUCCCCGAAAAAUGCCAAUGCGCUGCGACCGAUAUAAUUGCAAAAUUUGGUGGUGAGGAACAGCGAAAUAUAUUAGCGCUUUAAGGUCUUCAAGGACCACUGGAAUUCUCUCUCGGGUCUAUUCGAGAAGGUAGAACGGAGUGCUAGUAGUAGUGGCGUACCGAAAACACGGCAGUUCCCAAAGGCCCCCUGGACAGUUGGUUUUAUCUACACGGAGCAACAUCGUCCGGAAAAAUUGAUAAUUGACUGAUCAUUUUAUUCUAAGUUGGGAAACGAAGUGGGAGCAGAAAACAGAAGCGUCCAACCGCUUAAGGAAUUUGGCCCGGCACACAGCACAAAAUUCGUAUACAUCCACGGCAACUUUCACUGUCGCGCACUCUCAAACACUUUUCUGCAUUGCUUUAUGAUAUUUUGUAGCCAACGAAUUCGUAAACAAAGGCGAAAAACCCGUUUCUACCUGCAACAUCCGGUUCGGGAGUUAUUAGUGAAAUAAAAUUCCAAAAGUUUAA